rnacentral:rRNA from 1 species
UACGGAGGAUCCAAGCGUUAUCCGGAUUCAUUGGGUUUAAAGGGUGCGUAGGCGGAAUGAUAAGUCAGUGGUGAAAUCCUUCAGCUUAACUGGAGAACUGCCAUUGAUACUGUCAAUCUUGAGUACAUUUGAUGUGGGCGGAAUGUGUCAUGUAGCGGUGAAAUGCUUAGAUAUGACACAGAACACCGAUUGCGAAGGCAGCUCACAAAACUGUAACUGACGCUGAGGCACGAAAGCGU